GAAAUGCGAUAAGUAGUGUGAAUUGCAGAAUUCAGUGAAUCAUCGAAUCUUUGAACGCACAUUGCGCCCCUUGGUAUUCCAAAGGGCAUGCCUGUUCGAGCGUCAUUUGUACCCUCAAGCUUUGCUUGGUGUUGGGCGUCUUGUCUCUAGCUUUGCUGGAGACUCGCCUUAAAGUAAUUGGCAGCCGGCCUACUGGUUUCGGAGCGCAGCACAAGUCGCACUCUCUAUCAGCAAAGGUCUAGCAUCCAUUAAGCCUUUUUUUCAACUUUUGACCUCGGAUCAGGUAGGGAUACCCGCUGAACUUAAGC
rnacentral:misc_RNA from 1 species